UAAAAGGUACGCCGGGGAUAACAGGCUGAUCUCCCCCAAGAGUCCACAUCGACGGGGAGGUUUGGCACCUCGAUGUCGGCUCAUCGCAUCCUGGGGCUGAAGGAGGUCCCAAGGGUUUGGCUGUUCGCCAAUUAAAGCGGUACGUGAGCUGGGUUUAGAACGUCGUGAGACAGUUCGGUCCCUAUCCGAUACGGGCGCAGGAGAUUUGAGGGAAGUUGCUCCUCGUACGAGAGGACCGGAGUGAACGAACCUCUAGUGCACCAGUUGUCACGCCAGUGGCAUAGCUGGGUAGCUAUGUUCGGCAGGGAUAACCGCUGAAAGCAUCUAAGCGGGAAGCCCCUCCCAAGAUAAGAUCUCCCGUGGCGCAAGCCACCUAAAGGCUCCUUGGAGACUACAAGGUUGAUAGGCCGGAGGUGUAAGUGCAGCAAUGCAUUCAGCCGACCGGUACUAAUAAGCCGUGCGGCUUAACCAGUUCUU
rnacentral:rRNA from 1 species